CUGGGAGGAUUACUCGCUGCCCUACCCUUGAUCCCUGGCAAUGCCCUGCUACUACACUGUCCAUUAUACCUUGAAGCUGCUCUCUUCUUAUUAAUUCUUGUCGAUUCUUGUAGUAAUCAAGUCUCUGGGUUUCUAUCUUUAUAUACAUAUCAAUCACAUAUUGUUGUAGCAGUCUGCCAGUAUUAAGUACACUUGGAGUAUAUUUUUCUCGCAUCUGCAAUUUAUAUGAAUAAUACUCACGCAUUGAUACAAACUCCUUAUUGUUUUCCAGAUCGUUACAACCUGCAAUACAAUUGUUCAAUGAUGCCAUCCAGUUUCUCCAAGCGGGAAUAACAGUGGAUACUGCAAUGGAUCAUAGCAUCCAUAAUAGUAUUGUAACAGGUGGUCUUUACCCUCUUUUGUAUAGAUUUGAAUAUGUCUCGUGUAUCCUUCUUUAAAUUCCUGACCCUCCACCCAUAAAGCUGCAAUUUGAGAUGCAGUUGGUUGGUUGAAGACCCUCUGAUCAUUUUCUGAAUGGGAUUUAAGUACUAUCUGGUAUGAGUCAAGAUCUGGAACAUGUUUUAAGCUUCGAAGAAAAGAAGCCUGCAGAUAGACGCCAGAACCUCCAGAUGGAAUCAGAUCUUUGAUGAAGUGAUAAGUUUGUCCUUGGACUUUGAAUGUGUAAAUGCCAUUAGUUCUUUUGCAGAGGGAUUUAUCAUAAUGCACUCCAAAAGAGGUGAAGCCAAACAUGUUGUUGUAUGUCCUGACAUAUGUUCUAAAAG